UACGGAGGGGGCUAGCGUUGUUCGGAAUUACUGGGCGUAAAGCGCACGUAGGCGGAUCUUUAAGUCAGGGGUGAAAUCCUGGAGCUCAACUCCAGAACUGCCUUUGAUACUGAGGACCUUGAGUUCGGGAGAGGUGAGUGGAACUGCGAGUGUAGAGGUGAAAUUCGUAGAGAUCGGGAGGAACAUCAGUUGCGAAGGCGGCUCUCUGGACCAGCACUGACACUGAGGCACGAAAGCGUGGGGAGCAAACAGG
rnacentral:rRNA from 1 species